rnacentral:misc_RNA from 1 species
CAGUUAAUAUCUUUCGGGUUUUCUGUAAAUCAAACAAAUCCAAGCAUUGCCUAUCAUCAGAAAUAGAGGCAUCAAGCAUAUAACACUCGGCACAUAAUCAGAAGUGCAAACAUGUGAUGGUGGCUGGGAUCAACUAAGCAUUGGCUUUUGAAAAAAAAAAAUCAGCAAUGAAGAAACUUCUAAACAUCUAAUCUGCUGCUUCAAGACAACGAUCAACAAAUACUUCAAUAGUGCAAGAAAUAAGAAUGACUUGGGAAGACUAGGAAGUGAGAAAAAAAUAGAAUUCAGCAAGACUCACUAUAAUGAUGUUAUAAAAAACCUAGUUAAAACUUAAAAGAUACUCUUUUUAAGCAGGAGGGGGGGGGGGGGGGGGGGU